UACGGGGGGGGCAAGCGUUGUUCGGAUUUACUGGGCGUAAAGGGCGUGCAGGCGGUCUGCUAAGUCUAGGGUGAAAGCUCCCGGCUUAACCGGGAGAGGUACUUGGAUACUGGCGGACUUGAGGGAGGUAGAGGAGAGUGGAAUUCCCGGUGUAGUGGUGAUAUGCGUAGAUAUCGGGAGGAACACCAGUGGCGAAGGCGGCUCUCUGGGCCUUUCCUGACGCUGAGACGCGAAAGCGUGGGGAGCGAACCGG
rnacentral:rRNA from 1 species